rnacentral:rRNA from 1 species
UGGGGAAUUUUGCGCAAUGGGCGAAAGCCUGACGCAGCAACGCCGCGUGUGUGAUGAAGGUCUUUGGAUUGUAAAGCACUUUCGACCGGGACGAAAACCCCUGGGCUAAUACUCCAGGGCUUGACGGUACCGGGAGAAGAAGCACCGGCUAACUCUGUGCCAGCAGCCGCGGUAAUACAGAGGGUGCAAGCGUUGUUCGGAAUUAUUGGGCGUAAAGCGCGUGUAGGGCGGGCUUUGCAAGUCAGAUGUGAAAGCCCUCGGCUCAACCGAGGAAGUGCGUUUGAAACUGCAGAGCUUGAGUGCCGGAGAGGGUGGCGGAAUUCCCCAAGUAGAGGUGAAAUUCGUAGAUAUGGGGAGGAACACCGGUGGCGAAGGCGGCCACCUGGACGGUCACUGACGCUGAGACGCGAAAGCGUGGGUAGCAAACAGGAUUAGAUACCCUGGUAGUCCACGCCGUAAACGAUGAGAACUAGGUGUCGUGGGUGUUGACCCCCGCGGUGCCGUAGCUAACGCAUUAAG